UACGUAGGGCGCAAGCGUUGUCCGGAAUUAUUGGGCGUAAAGAGCUCGUAGGCGGUUUGUCGCGUCUGCUGUGAAAACCUAAGGCUCAACCUUGGGCUUGCAGUGGGUACGGGCAGACUAGAGUGCGGUAGGGGUGACUGGAAUUCCUGGUGUAGCGGUGGAAUGCGCAGAUAUCAGGAGGAACACCGAUGGCGAAGGCAGGUCACUGGGCCGCAACUGACGCUGAGGAGCGAAAGCAUGGGGAGCGAACAGGG
rnacentral:rRNA from 1 species